GACGAACGCUGGCGGCGUGCCUAAUACAUGCAAGUAGAACGCACAGUUUAUACCGUAGCUUGCUACACCAUAAACUGUGAGUUGCGAACGGGUGAGUAACGCGUAGGUAACCUGCCUGGUAGCGGGGGAUAACUAUUGGAAACGAUAGCUAAUGCCGCAUAAUAUUAAUUAUUGCAUGAUAAUUGAUUGAAAGAUGCAAUUGCAUCACUACCAGAUGGACCUGCGUUGUAUUAGCUAGUAGGUGAGGUAACGGCUCACCUAGGCGACGAUACAUAGCCGACCUGAGAGGGUGAUCGGCCACACUGGGACUGAGACACGGCCCAGACUCCUACGGGAGGCAGCAGUAGGGAAUCUUCGGCAAUGGACGAAAGUCUGACCGAGCAACGCCGCGUGAGUGAAGAAGGUUGUCGGAUCGUAAAGCUCUGUUGUAAGAGAAGAACGGGUGUGAGAGUGGAAAGUUCACACUGUGACGGUAUCUUACCAGAAAGGGACGGCUAACUACGUG
rnacentral:rRNA from 1 species